AUUGAACGCUGGCGGCAGGCCUAACACAUGCAAGUCGAACGAGUCGCGGACGGGUGAGUAAUGAAUGGGAAACUGGCCGGUGGAGGGGGAUAACUACUGGCAACAGUAGCUAAUACCGCACACCAUCGGAUGUGCCCAGAUUGGAUUAGCUAGUAGGGGGGGUAAAGGCUCACCGAGGCGAGGAUCCCUAACUGGUCUGAGAGGACGACCAGCCACACUGGGACUGAGAAACGGCCCAGACUCCUACGGGAGGCAGCAGUGGGGAAUUUUGGACAAUGGGGGAAUCCCUGAUCCAGCCAUGCCGCGUGGGCGAUGAAGGCCUUCGGGUUGUAAAGCACUUUAGGCUGGAAAGCGGUACCUGCAGAAUAAGCACCGGCUAAAUACGUGCCAGCAGCCGCGGUAAUAC
rnacentral:rRNA from 1 species